rnacentral:rRNA from 1 species
GGACUCUAUUGAGGCCCCGUAAUCGGAAUGAGUACACUUUAAAUCCUUUAACAAGGAUCCAUUGGAGGGCAAGUCUGGUGCCAGCAGCCGCGGUAAUUCCAGCUCCAAUAGCGUAUAUUAAAGUUGUUGCGGUUAAAAAGCUCGUAGUUGGUUCUGCGUGCCGCGCUGUCGGUUCGCCGCCUGUCGGUGUAACUGGCAUGUCGCGGCAUGUCCUGUCGGUGGUAAACGGGGUCCCCGGUGCUGCUAGCGGCUUUUUAGCCAAAGUUAGUGCCGUGUGUGUCCUCGUUUGCCGAUCUCUCCUACUCCGGUGCUCUUAAACGAGUGACGAGGUAGGCCGACACGUUCACUUUGAACAAAUUAGAGUGCUUAAAGCAGGCUGAAAUAUCUGCCUGAAUAGUGGUGCAUGGAAUGAUAAAAUAGGACCUCGGUUCUAUUUUGUUGGUUUUAGGAAUAUGAGGUAAUGAUCAAUGUGGACAGGCGGGGGCAUUCGUAUUGCGACGUUAGAGGUGAAAUUCUUGGAUCGUCGCAAGACGCACUAGAGCGAAAGCAUUUGCCAAGUAUGUCUUAAUUGAUCAAGAACGAAAGUUAGAGGUUCGAAGGCGAUCAGAUACCGCCCUAGUUCUAACCAUAAACGAUGCCAGCCAGCGAUCCGCCGAUGUUCCUAUAAUGACUCGGCGGGGAGCUUCUACCCGGGAAACCAAAGCUUUUGGGUUCCGGGGGAAGUAUGGUUGCAAAGCUGAAACUUAAAGGAAUUGACGGAAGGGCACCACCAGGAGUGGAGC